rnacentral:rRNA from 1 species
CCCUAGAGGAGCCUGUUCCAUAAUCGAUAAACCCCGAUCCACCUCACCCUCCCUUGCUUAGCCUAUAUACCGCCAUCUUCAGCAAACCCUGAUAAAGGUUACAAAGUGAGCACAAACGCCCUACCGCCGCAAAAACGUUAGGUCAAGGUGUAGCCCAUGAGAGGGUAAAAAUGGGCUACAUUUUCUACAUCAGAAAACUCCACGAAAACUCUCAUGAAAUCUGAGGGUCCAAGGAGGAUUUAGCAGUAAAUUAAGAAUAGAGUGCUUAAUUGAACCAGGCCAUAAAGCGCGCACACACCGCCCGUCACUCCCCUCAAAUAUAUUUAAGGAACACCUUAACUAAACGCCCUAAUAUUUAUAUAGAGGGGAUAAGUCGUAACAUGGUAAGUGUACUGGAAGGUGCACUUGGAC